rnacentral:rRNA from 1 species
GACGGAGGGUGCAAGCGUUAUCCGGAAUGAUUGGGCGUAAAGCGUGCGCAGGUGGCUGUUCAAGUCUGCUGUCAAAGACCGGGGCUUAACUUCGGAAAGGCAGUGGAAACUGAACAGCUAGAGUAUGGUAGGGGCAGAGGGAAUUCCUGGUGUAGCGGUGAAAUGCGUAGAGAUCAGGAAGAACAUCGGUGGCGAAGGCGCUCUGCUGGACCAUAACUGACACUCAGGGACGAAAGCUAGGGGAGCGAAUGGG